rnacentral:rRNA from 1 species
AUUCCAGCUCCAAUAGCGUAUAUUAAAGUUGUUGCGGUUAAAAAGCUCGUAGUUGGAUUUCUGCCGAGGAUGACCGGUCCGCCCUGUGGGUGUGCAUCUGGCUCAGCCUUGGCAUCUUCCUGAAGAACGUAGCUGCACUUGACUGUGUGGUGCGGUAUUUAGGACAUUUACUUUGAGGAAAUUAGAGUGUUUCAAGCAAGCGCACGCUUUGAAUACAUUAGCAUGGAAUAAUGGAAUAGGACAUCGGUCUUAUUUUGUUGGUUUCUAAGGCCGAGGUAAUGAUUAAUAGGGAUAGUUGGGGGUGUUUAUAUUCCGUUGUCAGAGGUGAAAUUCUUGGAUUUACGGAAGAUAAACUACUGCGAAAGCAUUCGCCAAGGAUGUUUUCAUCA